rnacentral:rRNA from 1 species
UGAGGAAUAUUGGUCAAUGGGCGCAAGCCUGAACCAGCCAAGUCGCGUGAGGGAAGACGGCCCUACGGGUUGUAAACCUCUUUUGCCGGGGAGCAAGCCUGAGCACGUGUGCCCAGGCGGAGAGUACCUGGAGAAAAAGCAUCGGCUAACUCCGUGCCAGCAGCCGCGGUAAUACGGAGGAUGCGAGCGUUAUCCGGAUUUAUUGGGUUUAAAGGGUGCGCAGGCGGGCUGUUAAGCCGGCGGUAAAAAUUCAGGGCUCAACCCUGUCGAGCCGUCGGAACUGGCAGUCUUGAGUGGGCGAGA